GUUUAAAUUAAGUUCCGUCUUUAAAGUGCCUUUUCCUUUAAAAUGUAAACGAUCCGCGUCAUACAUUCAAUCAAUUCACAUUCUUCAAAGUAGUGCAACGGGAAGGAAUUUAAGAACAGGUGAAGAAGAUAUAUUACUGGAAAUAUAUAUCAUACAAAUCAGGCUCCAUUGAGUUCCUUACAAUCGGAACAACUAGACGACUAUUCUUCCUUUUUCACGGAAAAGAAGGUACACCGGAUAUAACCGUGUUUUGAGUCAAACCUAAGUCGGAGGGAAUUACUGGAGCUUUUGAAAUAUAAAAAACACGUUCACAGAAUGAGCGGCAAUGAAGAAGGUGAUGGAGAGUACAAAGAUGGCCCCAAAGAUACAAUUGAAGUUCGGGGACCAGAGAAUCUAAUAAACCGAUGUAAGUUAGACCUUUUGCAGCUUUACUUUGAGAGUCAAAAGGAUAAGAA